GUGAGGAAUAUUGGUCAAUGGGCGGGAGCCUGAACCAGCCAAGUCGCGUGAAGGAAGAAGGAUCUAUGGUUCGUAAACUUCUUUUGCAGGGGAAUAAAGUGCAGGACGUGUCCUGUUUUGUAUGUACCCUGAGAAUAAGGAUCGGCUAACUCCGUGCCAGCAGCCGCGGUAAUACGGAGGAUCCGAGCGUUAUCCGGAUUUAUUGGGUUUAGAGGGUGCGUAGGUGGUUUGAUAAGUCAGCGGUGAAAGUUUGCAGCUUAACUGUAAAAAUGCCGUUGAAACUGUCGGACUUGAGUGUAAAUGAGGUAGGCGGAAUGCGUGGUGUAGCGGUGAAAUGCAUAGAUAUCACGCAGAACUCCGAUUGCGAAGGCAGCUUACUAAGCUACAACUGACACUGAAGCACGAAAGCGUGGGGAUCAAACAGGAUUAGAUACCCUAGUAGUCC
rnacentral:rRNA from 1 species